rnacentral:misc_RNA from 1 species
AAGUCGUAACAAGGUUUCCGUAGGUGAACCUGCGGAAGGAUCAUUACAAAUCCAUCCCUCUCAACACCCUUGAGACCACGUUGAAAUGUUCCCCAGGUGGUGGUGGCCUCUCACUUGCUUGCUUGCGUGCAUCCUAGCCUGCCUGCUUGCUUGUUUGUUUGUGCCACCCCCCUGGGCUGUUAAACUAGUGUGUCCUUGUUGCUCAAUUGUACGCUGUCUGGCUCGUUGACGCGAGCACGGCAAUCACACAACUGAUACAACUUAUAACAAUGGAUCUCUAGGCUCUU